GUCAAAGAUCAGCUGUGGUGUUGUUUGUUUUACACAUCUAUUAUCCAAACAAGUUUUGCACUCCAGGAGAGCAGGGUCUGUAUCUCCUUCCCUGAGGGCAGCAAGGGGGCUGCCUCCAGGUAAGGCUGUGGGUGAGUGCAUAAAUGGGUGUUUACUCAGAUCCCAGGGUGAGAGUACCCAGCCGCUGUCUUACUGCUGCUGUUGUGAGAUGUUUCUCUAGUUUUAACUCCAGAAAGCAGGCAAACUGGCAAGCUUCCAGGAACCUCUGUGCACUGAAUGCCUAGUGAACAAUAACACCAUAUGUAGAAAACCCACUGGAGGCCCCGAAUGGACCUUUUCCAAUCAUAAGCUUCUUCCAAUCGUGAGUUUUAACUAGAAUGAAGUUCUGGAUGCUGUGAACAGAGAGCAGACUCCUUAGGACAUUCAGAUAACCCUGUUGAAGCUGGACCGCUCAGCACCGCACGUGUUGUCAAUAGGCAUUGUGGUCCAGGCCCAUGCCUGCGACUUAGGCUCCAGAAGGCACCUGAGGUAGGGCCUGGAGGGCAGGGAGGACAGAGAGAGGUGGCAAGGUGGGAAGAGAGACAGAGAGAGAAGGGUGGAGGGAAAUGGGUAGUGUAGCAUCAGUAGAGAGGUGCUUAGCCUGUGGGGUCUAGAGGAAGCUUCCUCUGAACGGUGAAGGAGAAGCUAAGAGUUACCUUGAGAGCAGAGAGGGAGAAGGGGAUGUGGGGAUGAGCCUGAGAGCCAGAACGCAGAGCCCCUGGUGACCAUCAGGACUUUGUUCAGAAAGUUCUGGGCACCCCUGAUGGGUCACCAGGAGAGCCCACUGCAGCUGUCUCAGUUGCCACGUGACCUCUGACUCCUCCUCUGAUUUCUUUGUCCUCACCCUUCACCUCUGCGUGUUUCUUACACCUGCUGGUGUCCUCUUCCCCGCUUAACAAAGCACGAUAAGCAAAAGCAUCACCAGCUCAGACACUGGAGUCUCCUCCAGAGAUGGGAAGUUACCACGGGAGAAAGGAUCACAGCACUCAGGACACUGGGGUGAAAGCUGCCGAAACCCUCACCACUGCACUCGAGCUUGAUGCCUGACAGCUGCGCUAAUCUCGCUACGCUCCAAAGUGGAGAAAAGAAACGGAAGUUGCCUUACCUGACAACGGAGACAAGCAAGUGUUACGAACAGACUUGUGCCUUCCUCCCCCAAAUUCACCUGGGACCGGAUUCAGAGACUGGGUCCAUAAGCAGAGAGGAAAGGUCUCCUGUGGGCAUGUUGAGAAGUCACCAUCUUGAAGUCAAGAAGACAGACCUCACCUGAAAACAAUGAUACAGGCACCUUGCUCUUGGACUUCUGGCUCCAGAACUCUGAGGAAAUAAAUUUCUGUUGUUUAAGAUACCCACACUGUGACGUUUUGUUACGGCAGCCCUGUGUGAAUAAUAUACCAAGAUCACUGAGGCAUUUAACCUAAUAUAGCCAGAAUUCAUUGAAUCCAAUCUUUACUCAAGGAGGCUAGGUAUAUUUACAGUUAGGCCCUUUUUUCUGAAACGAACGAAAACAAAACUUUUAAAUUAACUGAAUAGGAAACACACAGGCAUAAUAAAAUGUUCAUGGGUUUACAUGGUGCCGUGGAUUGAAUUACAUCCCCAUGAAAUUCCCAUGUGGAAGCCUUAAUCCCCAAUGUGAUAGACUUUGGAGAUAAGGCUUUGGGAAGAUAAUCAAGUUUAGCUGUCAAGAAAGUAGAGACCUUGAGAUGGGGUUAAUGUUUUUACUGAGAAGAGUAGCUACGAAGCUGACUCUUGCUGUCUCGCUCCACCAUGUGGGGGCACCUGAGAAGGUGGACAUCUGAAAAUUAGAAAGACAGCCCUCGAAAGGAACCUGACCAUACUGGCACUCAGAUCUGACACUUCAGCCUCCAGAAUUUAGAGAAAAUAAUCUUUUAUUAAGACACCAAUCUGUGAUAUUCUGUUAUGGAGGCCCUAGCUGAGAUAUAAAAUUUGAGGAAGUUUUAAGCCUCUUUCUCUCACUUCAGACCCUCACUCCCGUAGUCCUUCUUUCCCAGAGGCAACCACUACAAAUUAUUACAAUUAAUAUACUAGAAUAUAGAUAGACAAGAAAUGGAUAGUGCUUUUUUUGUGAAUGAGAAUAUUCUACAUAUAUGGUCCUAAACUUUGCCUUUUU
ensembl:lncRNA